rnacentral:rRNA from 1 species
AUACGGAGGGUGCGAGCGUUAAUCGGAAUUACUGGGCGUAAAGCGUACGUAGGCGGUUUGCUAAGUCAGAUGUGAAAGCCCCGGGCUUAACCUGGGAACUGCAUUUGAUACUGGCAGACUAGAGUAUGAUAGAGGGGGGUAGAAUUCCUGGUGUAGCGGUGAAAUGCGUAGAUAUCAGGAGGAAUACCAGUGGCGAAGGCGGCCCCCUGGAUCAAUACUGACGCUGAGGUACGAAAGCGUGGGAGCGAACAGGAUUAGAAACCCUAGUAGUCC